GAAACUGGGCAGUGUCCCUUUAAGAGAAAAAGAAAGCAGGAAGUCUGAGCAGAAAGAAAGUCUCAGCCUGGACUUCGUUCCAUCCCUGCCUGUGUGGGGUCCCUGUGGCUGCUUUCAAGCCCACACCAUGGCUCCCAACCUGGGCACUUAAGGGUUUUCACUGCAUACAUUGGUCCUGAGCCAGCUGCUGUCUUCAGACUUGUCUUCUCCCCACUGCCUCACAGCUCAGAGUUGAGCUGGCCUCAUACUGAAAAUGCAGAGCACGCCCAACUACCUCUGGAAUAUGGACGAUGUGCUGGGCCAAGGGGCUACAGCCAGCGUGUACAAAGCCCGCAGUAAGAGAUCAGGGGAGCUGGUUGCUGUGAAGGUCUUUAAUAAUGCCAGCUACCUCAGACCACAGGAGGUGCAGAUGAGAGAGUUUGAGGUGCUGAGGAAAUUAAACCAUAAGAACAUCGUCAAACUGUUUGCAGUUGAAGAGACUACCCAGGGAAACAGCAAGCAGAAAGUGCUGGUGAUGGAGUACUGCUCACGUGGGAGCUUGCUGAGCGUGUUGGAAGAUCCAGAGAACUCCUUUGGCUUGUCUGAGUCAGAAUUCCUCAUCGUGUUGCAUUGUGUUGUGGCCGGCAUGAACCACCUUCGUGAGAACAGCAUUGUCCAUAGAGACAUCAAACCAGGAAACAUCAUGCGGCUGGUGGGGGAAGACGGGCAGAGCAUCUAUAAGCUCACGGAUUUUGGGGCCGCUCGAGAGCUGGACGAUGACGAGAAGUUUGUGUCGGUCUACGGGACAGAGGAAUAUCUUCACCCGGACAUGUACGAGCGAGCGGUUCUGAGAAAACCCCAGCAAAAGGCUUAUGGGGUGACUGUAGAUCUGUGGAGCAUUGGGGUAACCUUUUACCAUGCUGCUACGGGCAGUCUCCCAUUUAUCCCCUUCGGCGGACCUCGCAAGAAUAAAGAAAUCAUGUAUAAAAUAACGACCGAGAAACCCGCUGGAGCUAUCGCAGGUGUCCAGAGGCAGGAGAACGGGCCCAUUGAGUGGCGCUACGAGCUGCCCAUCACCUGCCAACUGUCUGUGGGGCUGCAGAGCCAGCUCAUCCCCAUACUGGCUAACAUUCUGGAAGUUGAUCAGGAAAAAUGCUGGGGCUUUGAUCAGUUUUUUGCUGAAACCACUGACAUCCUGCACAGGAUAGUGGUCCAUGUCUUCUCCUUGCAGCAAGCUACCAUGCACCGGAUCUACAUCCAUGCCUACAACACUACCGCCAUAUUUUUAGAAGCUGUCUUCACACAGACAAAUAUAGCCCCUCACCAUCAAGAAUAUUUUUUUGAAGGUCACCCGUAUCAAUUGGAACCCAGCCUGCAAGCUCACAAUUUCUCCAGAACCACAGAAAAUAGCCCGCUGACCUUGCUGAGCAGUGUACCGGAGGAACCCGUGGGAGUGAGAUUCAGAGAUCCAUCACAUGAGUUUCCAAAGUUUGUCCCAAAGGUUGAUGUCCUAGCUGACUGCAGCAUGGCAAAGGGUGUCCUGAGUGCCGUUCACCAGACACUGAAGAUCUCUCGGUCACUUUUGAAAUGUCAAGAGUUUAUUCUGAGAGGUCUUUACUGGGUGAUUGAGAGCCUGAAAGCCAAGUGCUCCUGUGUUGUGGAGAGAAGGGAAGCGGCCGUUUUGAUGCUGAGCGGCUUGCAGCAUACUGAGCUGAAGGCCUUCGUGUUGUAUGAGUCUGUUUCUGGAGGGAACGGUAGUCCAGAGCUGAAGGAUCUGGCUGAGGUGAAAACAAGGCUGCAGACUGUCACUGAAGACCUCACCAGAUGUUCCCACAGCAUCUCCGAACAUAAAGGGACAUUGGACUCGCUUUUGUCUGAGCUGGUAAAGCACAGGAAACAGGCACAUGAAGAUAGCAUCCGGCAGAUGGAGUGCUGCCUCGAGAAGAUGCAGCUCAUAUACAAGCAAUUCAAGAAGACCCGGAUGAGUCCGCGGCUAGCCUACAAUGAGGAACAAAUACACAAGCUGGAUAAGAUGAAUUUAGGGCAUUUGGCCAAAAAGGUCUUGUCGAUUUUCCAGGAGGACUGCGUACAGAAAUAUCAAGCUAUGCUGGCCAUCCAUGGGAACAUAACUAGGGACGUUUGGGAGAUGAGAGAACAUUUGAAGAAACUCAGCAACUCUAUAGCCGCUUGUAAUGUGGAGAUGAUGGGAUGCCAGGAGUGCCUCCAUAAUGCUUUGGACAGAUUACCUCAGAGAAUCCUGCGGGAGAAACCAAAUUUGGCCCAGGUCUCUUCUGCACCCCCACCAAUUUACAUGAAUCUAGUCGAUCAGGAGAUGGUACUUAGGUGAGUCCAGAAUGAAGGAGCUUCGGGAGCAAAUGAAACUGGUAGCGAAUGACCUCCAGAGCAACAACAGCAUCAUUGAGCGGUUAAGUGGGGUUGUGUCCGCUCCAGAUGUUUGAGGGAGAUGUGAUGGAUUUGGAGCUGCUGAAAUAGUGUUUUGUUUUUUGUUUUUAAAUUAUCUCUCGCACUUUGGGUCAAGAUCAAUGGAGAACUUCAGCUCAAAGACAUCACCUUGUCCUACCUCUCUGCUCCAGCACUUUGGCACAAUUCACCAGCAUUAGCCUUACCUGGGCUGCAAAUCUCAAGUGCUUGAAUACUGGCAGUGUCCCUAAUGUUGUUCAGACGUUGCCCUGUUUGGGUUUCCUUGGAGAAAAUGGAUUGUUUCCAGUAUUUUACAUUUCUUUCUUGUUCCCAUCGAAUUGCUGACUUCAUCCUGUAUCGAGGAGGCCGUGCUCUGUUAGAUGAAAUGGGUUAGAUUAAAUCAGCAUCUUUAAGCCACUUUACAUCUCUCCCACCCAUGGAAUACAAGCAGAAGUCUCUGUAAUUUGUGACUCCAGCAUAAAGAUGAUUUUUCCAUUGCAUGAUCUCCUGGGUUCUUUAUCCUUGUCAAUUUUGAUCAUCAUGGGUCCUUUCCAGUGUGAGCCAUGUGCAGGAAGGAUAGUGGACUCAAUGGACCAGAGAUCUGCUCCAGUAUGGAAAUAUUCCCUCUUUCAACUGGGAGAAGGUGGAAUAUGGGCAAUGCAGAAAUCAACAGCACCAAAUCUUCGAAGAGCUUCGCUUUGGAGUAUAGCUGUUGUCAGCUGUCUGCUGGAGACUGACUGGACCAUCUGGUUGUGUUCUGUCACUUCCUCUCCACCUAAGUCGCAUAUGUUCUGAUUACCGAUGGCCAUAAGAAUAUGAAACAAUCGGAAGCUUCGGUUGCCGUGUCUUGUAGGUCCGUUUCCAGAGCGAUACAUGAACUCUGUGCUUAUAUGCACAUGCGCGCACACGCUCCCUGAGAAAUUCCAUAUUAAAGAUAUUGUGUAAAAUCCUUGAAUGUGACAUCCAUGGGCUGCAUCCAAAUGUAUCUUUACAAGUGAGAGAGGGUGAUUUUUGUUUUGGGAUGAGCCGUGGAAGUCCAUGCCAAGCGGACAGCUGAUCUAGCUGUGAAAUGCUGAAUUAUUCCAGAGAACGCUGGUCCGAUUGGCUUAUUGGCGAUUUAAUUUAAAUUUGUUAAAUUGGCAUCCCAUAAGGGAUCUAGUGAAAAACGUUCAAAAGUGACUUGGAGACCUAAAUUAUAUUUUCAAAAGGGACUUGGGCACUUGGGAGCCUGAAUCUUAUUGAAAGUUAAUGGAACUUCAAGCUCUUAAGUGCCCGAGUCACUCUUGACAACUGGGCUUUGGUUCCUAAAUCACUUAAGCACCAUUGAACAUUUAUUCACAGAAAGCUAUACACAUGAAACAGAUGGUAUAAAAAUAACUCUUUCUGGAAUAAUUUCACUACUUACUAAGUGUUAUCAUUCCUUGACAACAUGGGCCAGAUUCACAGCUGGUGUCUCCAUUGGAGCUUCACUGAUCUACACCAGCUUCAUGAUCUGGCCCUAUGAAUUUCAAUCUUGUUUUCGAUCAGGAAUCUCUUCUUUCUUGAGUCUCCGCUUUUAACUGCUACCAGAGUUAAUGAGAGCUGUGUGUGUGUGUGUAUCUAGGUCCCAUGUAUGUGAUAGCAGAACACUGACUACCCGAAUGCUUCACUCUCCAAACCUUCUUUUCUAAUACACUGCCCUGGUACCCUCUUGGCUCCCUGUCCCUUGACUCUGAUUACUCAAAUAAUCAGUGAUCCAAGCGUAUUUGGUGGUACAGUUGAUCUGGAUCUGACAGUGUAUUUGAUGCAGAGAAGGCAUCUCUUUAAUGCAAACCAAAUGUAAACACAGGAAUGGUCUGGUUUGUUUGGAGAACAACUUGUAAAUGGAACUCGUUUGCUUGGUCAUGUCUGUGGUGUGUUAACGUCCACAUGAUAAUGGAAUAAAAUGGUUA